CCAUAUCGCGUUGAAACACAGGUUCACAUAUGAUCACCGAAGUUAAACAACGUCUAGCCUGGUUAGUACCAUGAUGGGUGACCACCUGGGAAUACCAGGUGCUGUAA